AUCCAGAUGAAGUGUCCCAACUAGUAUGAAACGCUCGUCCUGGAU
rnacentral:hammerhead_ribozyme from 1 species